rnacentral:rRNA from 1 species
AUACGGAGGGUGCAAGCGUUAAUCGGAAUUACUGGGCGUAAAGCGCACGCAGGCGGUCAAUUAAGUCAGAUGUGAAAGCCCCGAGCUUAACUUGGGAAUUGCAUCUGAAACUGGUUGGCUAGAGUCUUGUAGAGGGGGGUAGAAUUCCACGUGUAGCGGUGAAAUGCGUGGAGAUGUGGAGGAAUACCGGUGGCGAAGGCGGCCCCCUGGACAAAGACUGACGCUCAGGUGCGAAAGCGUGGGGAGCAAACAGGAUUAUAUACCCUGGUAGUCCACGCUGUAAACGAUGUCGAUUUAGAGGUUGUGGUCUUGAACCGUGGCUUCUGGAGCUAACGCGUUAAAUCGACCGCCUGGGGAGUACGGCCGCAAGGUUAAAACUCAAAUGAAUUGGCGGGG